rnacentral:lncRNA from 1 species
GUUAGAGUUAGGAGGUGUUACUGAACAGACAGACAGACAGGUUAGGAGGUGUUACUAUACAGACAGACAGACAGGCAGGCAGAAAGACAGGUUAGAGUUAGGAGGUGUUAAUGUACAGACAGACAGACAGGUUAGGAGGUGUUACUAUACAGACAGACAGACAGACAAACAGACAGACAGGUUAGGGUUAGGAGGUGUUACUGAACAGACAGACAGACAGACAGGUUAGGAGGUGUUACUAUACAGACAGACAGACAGACAGGCAGACAGACAGGUUAGAGUUAGGAGGUGUUACUGUACAGACAGACAGACAGGUUAGGGUUAGGAGGUGUUACUGUACAGACAGACAGACAGGUUAGGGUUAGGAGGUGUUACUAUACAGACAGACAGACAGAGACAGACAGACAGGUUAGGGUUAGGAGGUGUUACUAUACAGACAGACAGACAGAGACAGACAGACAGGUUAGGGUUAGGAGGUGUUACUAGACAGACAGACAGACAGACAGACAGGUUAGAGUUAAGAGGUGUUACUGAACAGACAGACAGACAGACAGGUUAGGGUUAGGAGGUGUUACUAUACAGACAGACAGACAGGUUAGGGUUAGGAGGUGUUACUGGACAGACAGACAGACAGACAGGUUAGGGUUAGGAGGUGUUACUAGACAGACAGACAGGUUAGGGUUAGGAGGUGUUACUAUACAGACAGACAGACAGGUUAGGGUUAGGAGAUGUUACUAGACAGACAGACAGGUUAGAGUUAGGAGGUGUUACUGAAAAGACAGACAGACAGACAGGUUAGGAGGUGUUACUAUACAGACAGACAGACAGACAGGCAGACAGACAGGUUAGGGUUAGGAGGUGUUACUAUACAGACAGACAGUCAGG